CACGUAGGCGGAUCAGAAAGUAAGGGGUGAAAUCCCAGGGCUCAACCCUGGAACUGCCUCUUAAACUCCUGGUCUUGAGUUCGAGAGAGGUGAGUGGAAUUCCAAGUGUAGAGGUGAAAUUCGUAGAUAUUUGGAGGAACACCAGUGGCGAAGGCGGCUCACUGGCUCGAUACUGACGCUGAGGCACGAAAGCGUGGGGAGCGAACAGGAUUAGAUACCCUGGUAGUCC
rnacentral:rRNA from 1 species